rnacentral:rRNA from 1 species
AUACGGGGGAUGCAAGCGUUAUUCGGAAUCAUUGGGCGUAAAGGGCACGCAGGCGGUUCUGUCAGUCAGAUGUGAAAGCCCGGGGCUUAACCCCGGACGUGCAUUUGAAACAGCAGGACUUGAGUAGGGUAGAGGAAAGCGGAAUUCCUGGUGUAGAGGUGAAAUUCGUAGAUAUCAGGAGGAACACCGGUGGCGAAGGCGGCUUUCUGGACCAAAACUGACGCUGAGGUGCGAAGGCGUGGGUAGCGAACAGGAUUAGAAACCCUAGUAGUCC